rnacentral:lncRNA from 1 species
UUUCAAGUGUUUUUGAGCACUUAAUUCCAUUUUUCACACAAAAUUUGAUGCAUAUUCUUUAAUCAAUUUUUUUCCACAGCAGAAAAUUGCUGAGUAUGCAAAACACUUGUAACUUUUAUGUCUCUUACCAACAAACUAAACAUGCUGAAACUGUAUUUUAUAUUGAUACACGAGUGUACCAACAUGAAAAAAUCACUGAUUGAAUGUAUGUAGACUGCGAAAUUUGAACAUUCACCUUCUUUUUUGUUAUUUAUACUUUGUAUAUUGAAAAAUACAAUACAAUACAAUGUAAUACAAUAAUUUAAUCAUCCUGGGAGAUCACAUGUGAUAUAGGACAAGUCAAUAAAAGCAUUAAAAAGGUCUUACAUUUACAAAUAUUAUCAGUCCUAAAAACAUAGAAACAUACAAUAUUCCAUAUGAUAAUCUAUUGAAUUUGUUAUAACUAAAUUAAAGCUAAAUUGCUACUAAAUUCUUUUGUUGUAUAAGGACACAGAUCGACUAGAACCAUUUUUUAGUUUUCGCCUAAAAAUAUGUGUUGGAUAAUUCCGGGGGGCUGAAGGGUACCUGAAAGUUCUCUUUUUUCCUAGUAUUGUGAGUAUGUUUGUUACAGUUUUUUUUGAAGGUAUUUUGAUUAUAAUGUACAUAUGUCAACAGUUCAAGAAUUAUUUGCCACUGACUGUUAAUAUUUCAUGUUCUUCAAAAAUGUUUCGACAUGAAUGGUCAGGUGGGCAACCCAGACAUCUUAGGAUACGCUUCUGACAUAGGAACACACUAUGUGCAGCUGAAGUGUUUCCCCAUACCAUAAUUCCAUAAGAAAUUCUGGAAUGGACUUCAGCAUGGCAAAAUUUUAGGAGAUGGUUCAAACUUAAUUCACUUUUUAGGAAGAAUAUUUACGAAGUUAUCUUCCUCUGAUCUGCAUUCCUGUGAGAAGGGUACAGCUGUUUAUCCGUCUCGAUUCUGGGAACGUUUUUGUUCAAAUAGAGGAUGAAACAGUCAUCGAUAAGAAAGAAGAGAGCUUCAAUGAAAAUAAGUCAUCAGCGUUAUGUCAAAACGCUGAUGACUUAUUUGGAGUUUGGCACUGCAAAAGAUCAUAUUCCUAGUACUCAUCAAGUGGAAAAAUCAUGGCAGAAGUUAUCAUCAAAGUGAUUAAGUUUCCUUAGUGUGCUCUAAUAAGAAGAACAGCCUCAUCAUGGAAUAUGAAAAAAUAAAGUAUGUGGAA